CUUUGAGUUCUAGCCCGUCUAUC
rnacentral:miRNA from 1 species